rnacentral:rRNA from 1 species
UAGAGGAAGUAAAAGUCGUAACAAGGUUUCCGUAGGUGAACCUGCGGAAGGAUCAUUAUCGUAUAAAAUGGAGGUGCUGGGGCUGUCGCUGACCUUUGAAAAAGGUCGUGCACGCCCGGAGCACUCUCUCAUAUCCAUCUCACCCCUUUGUGCAUUGCCGCGUGGGUCCCCUUUUGGCUUGUUCCGAGGGGGACCUGCGUUUUUACAUAGACACCCUUUGAAUGCAUGUGUAGAACGUCUUACUUUUUGCGAUCACACGCAAUCAAUACAACUUUCAACAACGGAUCUCUUGGCUCUCGCAUCGAUGAAGAACGCAGCGAAAUGCGAUACGUAAUGUGAAUUGCAGAAUUCAGUGAAUCAUCGAAUCUUUGAACGCACCUUGCGCCCCUUGGUAUUCCGAGGGGCACACCCGUUUGAGUGUCGUGAAUACUCUCAACCUUCUUGGUUUCUUUGACCACGAAGGCUUGGACUUUGGAGGUUUUUCUUGCUGGCCUCUUUUGAAGCCAGCUCCUCCUAAAUGAAUGGGUGGGGUCCGCUUUGCUGAUCCUCGACGUGAUAAGCAUUUCUUCUACGUCUUAGUGUCAGCUCGGAACCCGCUUUCCAACCGUCUUUGCACAAAGACAAUGUUCGAGUUGUGACUCGACCUUACAAACCUUGACCUCAAAUCGGGUGAGACUACCCGCUGAACUUAAGCAUAUCAAUAAGGCGGGAGGAA